UACGUAGGAGGCUAGCGUUGUCCGGAAUCAUUGGGCGUAAAGAGCGUGUAAACGGCCCGGUAAGUCCGCUGUGAAAGUCGAGGGCUCAACCCUCGGAUGCCGGUGGAUACUGUCGGGCUCGAGUACGGAAAAGACGAGUGGAAUUCCUGGUGUAGCAGUGAAAUGCGCAGAUAUCAAAAGGAACACCUAUUGCGAAGGCAGCUCGCUGGGACGUUACUGACGCUGAGACGCGAAAGCGUGGGGAGCAAACAGG
rnacentral:rRNA from 1 species